rnacentral:rRNA from 1 species
AGUGAACGCUGGCGGUAGGCCUAACACAUGCAAGUCGAACGGCAGCACAGUAAGAGCUUGCUCUUACGGGUGGCGAGUGGCGGACGGGUGAGGAAUACAUCGGAAUCUACUUUUUCGUGGGGGAUAACGUAGGGAAACUUACGCUAAUACCGCAUACGACCUACGGGUGAAAGCAGGGGAUCUUCGGACCUUGCGCGAUUGAAUGGGCCGAUGUCGGAUUAGCUAGUUGGCGGGGUAAAGGCCCACCAAGGCGACGAUCCGUAGCUGGUCUGAGAGGAUGAUCAGCCACACUGGAACUGAGACACGGUCCAGACUCCUACGGGAGGCAGCAGUGGGGAAUAUUGGACAAUGGGCGCAAGCCUGAUCCAGCCAUACCGCGUGGGUGAAGAAGGCCUUCGGGUUGUAAAGCCCUUUUGUUGGGAAAGAAAAGCAGCAGGUUAAUACCCCGCUGUUCUGACGGUACCCAAAGAAUAAGCACCGGCUGACUUCGUG